rnacentral:lncRNA from 1 species
GCAGUGGCUUGUCAGUUGCAGUGACCAUAGAUGCUCAGAAUUACCUGAGGCUAUAGAUGCACUGAUGAACUUGCAACCUCUACAAAUCACUUUGCACUUUCUGGCACAGCCAGUAUGUUAACACUUCUAAGACAGGGGG